rnacentral:antisense_RNA from 1 species
ACUGCUCGAACCUGUGGAGCUCUUCCUCGAUAUCUUCCCUCCACCCUGGCU